rnacentral:rRNA from 1 species
AGGGAAUCUUCCGCAAUGGACGCAAGUCUGACGGAGCAACGCCGCGUGAGUGAUGAAGGUUUUCGGAUCGUAAAGCUCUGUUGCCAGGGAAGAACGCCUUGGGGAGUAACUGCCCUGAGGGUGACGGUACCUGAGAAGAAAGCCCCGGCUAACUACGUGCCAGCAGCCGCGGUAAUACGUAGGGGGCAAGCGUUGUCCGGAAUUAUUGGGCGUAAAGCGCGCGCAGGCGGCCGCUUAAGUUUGGUGUUUAAGCCCGGGGCUCAACCCCGGUUCGCACUGAAAACUGGGUGGCUUGAGUGCAGGAGAGGAAAGCGGAAUUCCACGUGUAGCGGUGAAAUGCGUAGAGAUGUGGAGGAACACCAGUGGCGAAGGCGGCUUUCUGGACUGUAACUGACGCUGAGGCGCGAAAGCGUGGGGAGCAAAC